rnacentral:rRNA from 1 species
AUACGUAGGGGGCGAGCGUUGCCCGGAAUGAUUGGGCGUAAAGGGCGCGUAGGCGGCCCGGUAAGUCUGGAGUGAAAGUCCUGCUUUUGAGGUGGGAAUUGCUUUGGAUACUGUCGGGCUUGAGUGCAGGAGAGGUAAGUGGAAUUCCUCGUGUAGCGGUGAAAUGCGUAGAGAUUGGGAGGAACACCAGUGGCGAAGGCGACUUACUGGACUGUAACUGACGCUGAGGCGCGAAAGUGUGGGGAGCAAACAGGAUUAGAUACCCUGGUAGUCCACACUGUAAACGAUGAAUGCUAGGUGUAGGGGGUAUCGACCCCUUCUGUGCCGCAGUUAACACAAUAAGUAUUCCGCCUGGGGAGUACGGCCGCAAGGUUGAAACUCAAAUGAAUUGGCGGGG